CCCCCCCCCCCCGAGACGAGCUUUCACGGGUGUUCGCGCGUCUAUGUUGCUUCACUCCGUGUGCCUGCGCCUCGUCCAUUACUGUUUACAACGUUAGCAUGACUACUUGGUUGGUGUUGCCUUCUCAGCGUGAGAAAUACAAGGUGUGGCGUGAGAGCGUGUAAACUGGUUGAAAUGCGUGUGUCUCACAGCCAAUGCGUGACAGUUGGCAGCCCUGUAAGUCUGCUGUUGGUUUGCUGGUCAAUAGCACAUUGAAGUUCACAAAUUAAGGUUGAAUUGGCCUGAAGUUGAUUUGAAUUCAGAGCAUGUUGGUGGCAUCAAUAACCAGAUGCCUUUAGAGGAAACAGGUUGUGUGUCGGCCAUUUUGAGAAAGGAUAAAACAGUCCAGAAUGUUCAACAGUCGGAACUGGAUACGGAAGAAAACACCCAACGAAUUACAUUUUAAUAUAAAAAUACGUUAAUUUUUUAUUUAAAAAUGGAAAAAUAGAUAAUGGAGGAUAAUGAUUACAGAUGAAGAGUAGGGUAAUAAAAAAAUUUAGUUUGUCAAUUUAAAGAAUCUCUGAGAUACUCAAUUCAGAAGAUUAUUUAUUUUGUUUUUAUAUAUGUUUUUUAUUGACAUUUUUUAUAAAUUCCCAUGAUGUAUUUUGAGUUAAAUUUACAUUAGAGAACGCUUGAACCAUGGUAUCUGGUUCUAACCUGUUCUCCUGUCCACAGGAUUGUAUGUUGCUAGGAGAUGUGUUGCUAGGAGAUGUGUUAACGGAAUGUUCUUGUUAUUGAAGUACAUUCCAUUUUUGUUUUCCCUUAUUUCACCAGCCAGCCAAGAAGUUAGUCAUUCCUCAAGCAAGCCAGUUAGCCAGCCAGUUAGUUAGUUUGCCAGACAGACAGACAGACAGUAAGUUAGCCAGACAGACAGACAGACAGACACUAAGUUAGCCAGACAGUUAGUUAGCCAGCCAGACAGUUAGUUAGCCAGCCAGACAGUUAGUCAGCCAGCCAGACAGUUAGUCAGUCAGACAGUUAGUUAGCCAGCCAGACAGUUAGUCAGCCAGCCAGACAGUUAGUCAGCCAGCCAGACAGUUAGUCAGUCAGCCAGACAGUUAGUCAGUCAGCCAGACAGUUAGUUAGCCAGCCAGACAGUUAGUCAGACAGACAGUUAGUUAGUCAGCCAGACAGUUAGUCAGUCAGCCAGACAGUUAGUCAGUCAGCCAGACAGUUAGUUAGUCAGCCAGACAGUUAGUCAGUCAGCCAGACAGUUAGUCAGCCCGUUAGCCUCCUGGCAACUGCAUUAAAAGCACAUAUUAUUACCCACACUCCCCCUCUCCUUGCCAGUCAGUGAAGAAUAACAAAAUGAAUGGCCAACAUUUCUAGUCUUCUACCAAAGCUUAGACAUUACUGACUAGUUCCUCUUGGAUUGUUUACCUGAGAGGGUGCUCAUGAUAGAUUCCUAAUAUCUGUUUGAAUGUUUUUUUUCUCCAUUAAACAUCAACAUAGAGUGGUUCUAAAGGUUCACCCCUUUUAGCACAGUGAAGAAACUUGUGUCAGAGAUCCUGCCACUACUGUCCAGACCCCAGCUAGGCUAGUGUCAGAGAUCAGCUAGGCUAGUUUUAAAAGCUUUAUAGUUAAUAUUUAUAUUUUGUCGGGGUUAGAAAUUGAUCUUUGGUUUCCAUAGAAACAUGCACUCAGGAUCAGGAGGUGUGUGAAGAGAAGCCCUAAGUCAUCUAUCCCAUAAUACUUAAGGUCCAUUAAAGACCUCUAUGUCCUCUAUCUCUCUCCCUCGCCCCCCCCCCCUCUCUGCCUCUCUGUCUUUCACACUCUCUCCCUCCGCUCUGCCCCCCCCUAUCUCACUCUCUGUCCUCUCUCUCUACUCCAUACGUUCUCUUUUUGUUGGUAAAGCAAUGCAACCACAUAAAGAAGUAGUUGAGCUGAAAGUAGCCGUUUCCUCUUAUGAACCCCUCAGUCUCUCUGUUAGAGCACUGGCCAUGCUUGGAUGUGUCUUGGGAGGCGUCUCCCUGGUCGUACUGGGUCAGCCCCAAGUCUUCUGGGUCAGCCCCAGGUCGUACUGGGUCAGCCCCAGGUCUUCUGGGUCAGCCCCUUAUCUUCUGGGUCAGCCCCAGGUCUUCUGGGUCAGCCCCAAGUCUUCUGGGUCAGCCCCUUAUCUUCUGGGUCAACCCCAGGUCUUCUGGGUCAGCCCCAGGUCUUCUGGGUCAGCCCCAAGUCUUCUGGGUCAGCCCUAGGUCUUCUGGGUCAGCCCCAGGUCGUACUGGGUCAGCCCCAAGUCUUCUGGGUCAGCCCCAGGUCUUCUGGGUCAGCCCCUUAUCUUCUGGGUCAGCCCCAGGUCUUCUGGGUCAGCCCCAAGUCUUCUGGGUCAGCCCCUUAUCUUCUGGGUCAACCCCAGGUCUUCUGGGUCAGACCCAGGUCGUACUGGGUCAGCCCCAGAUCUUCUGGGUCAGCCCCUGGUCAUACUGGGUCAGAUUAACCAGGCCACCUUGAACCAUACAGAGAGACUGUGGGCUGGUACUACUACUACUAUCUCCUACUACCCCUUCUGAGGCUUAGGCCGCCAACAUGAGUUCUCCAAGCAUUUGGGUCCUGAGCCAACAUCUCAAGCUGUCCCCAAGUGGAGCCCAUUUUCUUGGCAUCUGCCUCCCAGUCUCUGCGCCAGGUGUUUCGCGGCCGACCUCUCUCUCUUUUCCCUUGGGGAUUCCACUUGAGGGACUGUCUUGUGAUGUUUGUGGCUGGUUUGCGGAGGGUAUGGCCUAUCCAUCUCCAACGUCGUUGGAGGAUCUCUUUGUCCGCUGGCUUUUGGCUGUGGGCUGGUACACAGCAUUGAAAUGAUUAUCCAUUUCCAAACAUUAAGACAUUUAAUUACUUUACUAAAGUGUCGUAAAUAAAGCAUGUGUAAUCCUUAAGAUUGUGUUUAGCCAGUUGCAAGUGAUCAAUAAUUUGAUUAUUUCAGGUAAAAUGAGUAAGAGUGUUGUCGAUUAUUUACUUGUUUUAUUUCUCUGAGCUUGUCUCUUUCUUCUCUGGAUGAAACACUAGAAAGCACUUUAACACUUGAGGAAGACACCAUCCACUAAAAAGAAGAAUAGUUAGUAAUGAGUGCAGUUCAAUACACUGUACCUUGUUGCUAAGAAAGGGGUGUCCAGCAAUGGACUGGAUGGGCUGUUUUGCUCAUGCUGAAAAAUCCUUGUCUAGAACUUGAAAGCACUUUCAACAGCGAGAAUCUUUAUUCGCGUAAUUUUUAAAAAAAUUAAAGUUUAGGCUUCGUCUUUGAGAUGUGAAUGUGAGAAUGUGAGUGCUCGAUAGCAGUUGUGGGGGUUUGAAUGGGUGUUUGUUACAGUUAGUACAAUGUAACCUGCAGAGGUCUACAGCAUUGUUUAUUUUGUCAUAUAAAGGAUUAUGUGUAUAACUAUAUAUAUUCAAACCUUGUUGAUGCUAUAGACUGUUUCACUACCCUGUUGCACGUGUACGUAUGGGUCAACAAUUGUAAAGUUAAAUACAUUUUAUUCAGUUUUUUACAGCU